rfam:Eimeria brunetti, Houghton, WGS project CBTX01000000 data, contig: Ebh_contig175_4
GCCUCCUUAGCUUAGUCGGUAGAGCAUCCGCUUAGUAAGCGGAAGGUCGCCGGUUCGANCCGGCAGAAGGCU